GUUCCUCAUUUGAUUGGCCGUAACGUUGUACAGACUGAUUUAUUGGCGGUGGAAUCAAGUGGUCGGAUGGUACAGCAGCCGAUCUUGUAUUUGUAGUAAUUCCCUCAACGCCAAUUAACAGCAAACAUAUGAGUAGGCAUUCAUCUUCCACGAUCUAUACCUACACUUUGUCUAUUAACGUAAGUAAAAAAAAAAAAGUUCACAGCUUACCACUGAGAAUAGACACAAUGACAAUCAACCAUCUAUGUACGUAUUGAAUUGGGUGAUACGAAUUUCGCUGCUCAUGGUUGGAUCCGAACAUAUUUUUCGAUGCCGGGCAAAAGUUAUGAAUUCGAAAAGACAUGAAAAAUUAGCAUACAAAUACAAUAAUGUAAAAUGAAAAAGAAAUUAAAUUUAUAGAAAAUGUGGUGGAUUUAUAAUGUUGCCGUAUGUCAGAAUUAUUAUUGAGAUAUGCGGGGAGAAAUGCGUGGGAGAUUUUUUUUAUGUGUUUCAAGUUUAGCAUUUGAUUGGUAUGCGGUGAUUUCGCGCAGAAAUUCUUACAUUAAUUAAUUUACUUGCAGUUUUAAUGAUUCGGCAAGUUGUUGUUGUUUUUUUUUGCAAGAAAAAAGUUGGAGGAAUCCGGAAAAAGUUUUUAGAAAGGGAAGAUAAUUGAAGAAUGCAAACUUUAAAAAUGAAUUUCCAAACAUUCACAGGCUUCACAUAGUUGCCAAUGUCAAUGUUUGUUCUUUUAACCAGAUUAAAGUAAUUGAUACUCAGUAUAGCCAAUUAAAGGAAGAUAAAAGACCAGUUUUAAAAGAUGAUAAGUUCUUCUUUUACUUUAUCUCUGCAAUUUUAAAUUAAUAUUCGAAACGCGUAAAACUUAUCGUCCAAUUAACGAAGCUUACGUGAUUCGCAUUUCAUUUAGAUGAUGAUUAGAUGAAAUGUUUUUUUUAUUUCCCUGGAAAAG